UGGAACUCCAGUGAAGUGGAAAUGCUGGAGAGUCAUGGCAAGAAAGGGCUAGGAAGAUGUUCCAGGGCCUGGAACAAGGGUCGUGUGCCCCUGGUCUUAAUUUCUGGGAAGUUACAGCAGUCUUGGAACCCUGCUCCAUGGCUCACAGCUGUCAUCCUGUCUUCAUUUUCUCCUCUGUACAGGUGGUGGAAUCUGCUGAGUAGCCUUCACCGCCCCUUGUGGCCCUCUAUUAUGUGUGUGCCACUUUAGUAUUCCCUUACUGAGAGAGGAAGUGAGACUGUUUCCAUCCCAAUUGAUAUAGUUACUCACCUUCCAACUUGGGUUAAGUCCUUCUUAUCAAAAGGACCUGUACCCAUUAAAUUGCCCCUGACAGAGAGCUCUUUAUGACUGCAUUCAGGGCAAAAUCAGACUCUGCAAAACAGGGUGGAAAGGACAAAGACCUCAUUUUUCCCCCCUUCUAAACAACCCUGUUCUUAGUCUAUAUGUGACUCUGUAGUUUUGAACUUGGAGCUGUCAGUAUAUGGGAAGUUGUUUUUCAUCCCUUCCAGCAAAGUUAACAUAUCUUCCUUAGACCAGCAGUCUUAUUUCCAGGUCUGUGGGGCAAUCUGCUCCUGUAUUCACCUUCCAGCUGUUUGGCCACCUCUUUGGUCUCACUGACCUGGGAAUCCAGGGUUAAGAACACCUAACCACAGGGCAGUGCAGCCUCUCUUCACCCCAUUCCCCUGUAUCUUCCCAUGCUCUGAUCAAGGAGCCCUUCCCUUUUAUCCUGGCUCAGACACUACUCCAUCUCCCUGAUGUGGUGGCAGGGGUCCUGUAAUUGAUAUGGUUAGAUCUUUGGUUUUGGAAUUUUACAACUUUCUCAUUUAUUAUUGUCUCUGUGUCAUAGUUGUUUUAACCCAACAUUUCAGACUACAGUCAUCUGGAGGUGUGCCCUCAUCAGAAUGGCUGGUUCCUAUGUCUCUGAGAGAUAGUGUUGAUAAUUGAUAUAGGAAGACUCUGUCAUCCAUGAAGGGUGGCAAUAUUGGGAAGCAAGUGGUCUUGGGUUGGAUGAGAGAGCUAGGUGAGCAUUGUAGCUGCCUGUGGCCAUGUGAACUGGGUUCCCCAGAAAGGCAGCCCGGGGCUGAAAGAGAUCAGAGGGCAACAAAAGAAUGAGGCCAAGACAAACCUUUCUGCUCAAAGCCUCUGAAGGCUCUACCCUAGGUGUACUGGCUGGUUUUAUGUGUCAACUUGACACACCUGUAGUUAUCAUAGAGAAAGAAGCUUCAGUUGAGGAAAUGCCUCCAUGAGAUCCCACUGUAAGGCAUUUUCUCCAUUAGUGAUCAAGGGGGAAAGGCUCCCUGUGGGUGGGACCAUCUCUGGGCUGGUAGUCUUGGUUCUAUAAGAGAGCAGGCUGAGCAAGCCAGGGGAUGCAAGCUAGUAAGUAACAUCCCUCCAUGGCCUCUGCAUCUGCUCCUGCUUUCUGACCUGCUUGAGUUCCAGUCCUGACUUCCUUGGUGAUGAACAGCAGUAUGGAAGUGUAAGUCCAAUAAACCCUUUCCUCCCCAACCUGCUUCUUGGUCAUGGUGUUUGUUUAGGAAUAGAAACCCUGACUAAGACACUAGGUAAUCUCCUUCUUAGUGGCAGCAAGGUCAAAGUCUGGAUCAGCCUGCUCCAAGGCUCAGGGAGGCUACAGAGCAUGAGAGAGUGACCAAGCAAGAAAGCAAAGCAGGAAGUAGUGUUUUUGUCAAAUGUUUUUGCCUUCAUUUUCUAGCUUCAGUUUCUAGUCUGAGCUCCCAGUAUGGUGGGCUGUGAUCUGACAGAACCAUUUAAAACAUUUAUUACCUGAGAUGCUUCUGCUCAGAGGAAAACAAUCACAUCAGCAGAGUUGCAAGGUAGAGCAACAACAAUAACAACAACAACAGCAAUUGUUUCAAAAGCUGAUUUUGCUGCUGGACAGAAUCUCUGGUCUCUUUUGAAGGAAUAUGGAAAAUAUCAGAAAUUGAGAUGGCAAAGGUCAUAGAAAGCUGUACAUGGAGUUUAAUCAGUUGUUCCCAUAGGGUCUGGAAGAUUGGAGUGUUGACAGUAAUGCAGCCACACGAAUUUGAGGUCAUACUAUUUCAGUGGAAAAUGGACUGAAAGCUUUAGGAAGAGGUCAUUUGUGUGAUAUUUUGG
rnacentral:lncRNA from 1 species